AACUGAAAGUUCUCCAGGCUUCUGUCUCUGCCAGCCAGGAGAAUCAUGAAGGAGUUCUUUUCCUUGAAUAAGAUCCUUGGGAUGAGAUUGCAGUCCAUUCAUUUCUGCGCUGCUUCCAUGGUACUGACUGGGGACGAAGCAGUGAACCUACCAGAUCAGAUCCAUACCCUCGUGGAACUUACAUUCUAGUUGAUGAGACCAAUGUAAACAAAAAUCAAAUACUCUGGAUAAUGUUAGGAUACUGAAAUGAAAGAGGUAGAGUCCCUGCUCUUGAAGCACCCAUGAUCUGGUGGAGGAGAUUGGCACAGAGACCAUUGACUCCAGCAUGUGAAAAGCACUAUAACGAAGGCAGGCCCAGCGGUCCCCGGAGGGUGCUGACCCUUGCCUGGCAGGCCCUCCUCGUGCUGGUCCUCCUCGUGCUGUGCUGCUUCGCAGUCCAUUACCAGCUGCUUAAGCAGCAGGUUCCUGGUGGCUGGUCAGCUGGAACUGCUUCCUGACGACAAACAGGAAGGACACAGCAGCCUGUGAAGCAGCUUCCCUCAUUGGCCUCAUUGACAGAAAAAAAAAAAAAUUUAAAUCUUACAACAUUGAGGAGAACUUCAUGCUAUUAAUAACUCCUCAAGCCUCUUCCUGGAGAGGGGAACGAGCCAGCUUUAGGUUGCCCUGGAGGAACCUUUGCACUUGCCUGCGUUAACAAGCCUUUACAAGCCUCCAGUCCCAGGUCCUGAUGACUUGUCCUCCACACUUGCUUACGGCUUUGGCUACGUAAUCUCAUGGCGAUCCUGACCCCCUCCGUGAAACUGGAGCCUCCUCUACAGCAAAAUAAACCUCCCCACCAUUCGGGCAGCUUGCCUUCUUUUAUGCAGGAUGCUGGAAAGAGCUCAGGGAAAAGAGAGAUUAAGGAAGGCAAGGAAAUAAGGUGAGAGUUCCUGGUAGAUGAUAGCAAAUCCCUGCUCUGACACUUCCUGGCUGUGUGGCCAUAGGGAAAUUAUUUCACCUCUCUGAGCCUAAACUUCCUCAUCUGUAAGACAGGGAAAAUAAACUUGGUGCCUUAUAGGGUUGGAGGUGCUGCGACUUAUAAAGGGCUUCGUACUGUCCGUUUGGAAAGAGGAAGGGUCAGUGUGACCUGUAUGGGUCUCAUUAGCACUCACAUCCCCCAAUGGCAGUGGUUCAGAAUUUGGGCUCUGUUAUUUAUUACACGUGUGACUUUGAGCAAACCUCACUGGGCUUCCGUUUUCUCCCAGGCAAAAUGGAUAUAAGGAUUCCCAUCUCAUAUGGAAUCUUGUAAAGAUGAGCUGGCAUCAUGCACACAAAACAGUAAGGUGCCCGGACACAGGCAUUCAGGAAAUGCGGGCGUUUACAGUUUGCUGAUGAAAAAUUGGCAUGUUUCCUGUAAAACAUAGGAGUUUUGCAAAACCAGUUCUAAACCCCUGGCUGCCCAGUCCCCAAAGGCUCAGAGAAUGAACAGGUUCUAAUCCCAUAUCUACGCCUGAAAUCCUGUCCUGUAAGGUGUUCCGUCUUCAUCUCCUUUCUCGCUCUUCCAGCUUCUCCUUGUCUCCCUGCCUAGGCCUCUCAUUAGUCCAAUUAAUAAACUGUUGCUGUCACUUCAGUUCAGCCCCAGGACCCGCAUCCCUUGUGGAUGCGCCAUUAUGCUGGGGAAGUGAAUUGUGGGGCACCCUCAUUUCCACAGGAGAGUGGAACAAGGACCUGGGGUUGGCAGGAGAUGGACCUCCCUGGGUCCCAGUCUCGUAGAACAUCAACAGGAUAAUCAGUGAGAACUUCAUUAUCCAGAAUGAGAGUCUGGCUGUUUGGCACAUCACCAGGGUCCCAUUUAUGGGCUGGAAGGUUCUGGCCUGAGGCCUCUGGCUUUCCACGCACUGGCCUUCAGCUUCCCCUUGAACAUGUACACACACACACACACACACACACACACACACACACACACACACACAAUGCAGGCACGCACACAAUUUCCUUGGGCUUUUAGUAAGCUAAAGAGUUUGUGGGUACAUUCCAGUCCUGGAAGGCUGGUGAGCCGAGUGAAGCUGAUGCUGGAGGGCCCAGAAACGCACGACUGCUCCUGCUGAUUGCUGAGAAUAACCAAGCCCUGAGGUUCCCAAGAGCCCAUUAAACCAUCACAAGUGUCUCAUCCCUAGUGGGAGCAGUCCCCCACCUCCCCAGCCUUGGAAAGAUAAAGGACCAGGCCUGGGGAGUGGCCCAGCUAGCUGAAAACAAGAAGAUGGGACUAUUGGGUUAGCUCAGAAGCUCCAGCAGCCUGGGGACAGGUUGGUUUGCUAGGUACACAAUGGAGUCAGCAUUCACAGCCUCCUCCCUGACAUCCUAUGAUGUGAAACUGGAGUUUAUGCUGAGGACAGGGGAGGGUAGGGGGCAUGGUUUGAUGGGAAGUUAUUUCCCCAGCCAGUUAUAUCAUUCAUACCUGUUCAGGCAUACAUUUAGGGGAAACGGGGUUCCUAUCAAAGUCAUUGUGCUGACACCUGGCUCUCACCUGCUGCCCUAUCAGCACUUCUAUUUGCCACCCAGAAUUAUGAGCUUCCAUGCUGGCCUUAGCCCAAGCUGAAUGUGGAGAGUGAUACGUUUUCUUUCACUUCUUUGUCUAAUUCCCCACAACCACAAAAACACACGUGCUUUGUAUAAUAGACUUCACGGUAGGUCUCCGAGUGUGGUUCUCAAAAUAUAGUCCAUGGGCCAGCUGCAUCAUCAUCACCUGGGAACUUGUUAGAAAUACAGAUUCUUCAGCAUUACCCCAGGCCUACAGAAUUAGAAAUUCUGGGAGCCAGCCCAACAAUUUGUUUAUUAACAAGCCCUUCAAGCGAUUCUGAUACCUGCUGAAAUUUAAGGACCAUUACUGUAUGUUUGAAGAUACCUUGAAAAAAAUCACAGUAUAGGGAAGGAGACUAAAUUCAAGCAGAAUUGUAAAUAGGACUGUUUACAAGCCCAUAGGAAUAUAAAAAGGGGCUUUCAUGGAGUUUUGCUUCCCUCUCUGGAGGCCCACGUGAAGAGGUUGAUUUCUUCCCAUAUAAAAACAAUCCUAAGCAUGUGCUCACACACAUACCACACACACACACAUGCACACACGGGCAUGCACACACACACACACGAGAACCCAUUCCCCACCUUUUCUCUACAGAGGCCACAACAUUCUUGAAUUUGGUGUUUAUCAUUUACAUGCAUGCUUUUAUUACAUAUUUACUACAUAUAAUUUUUUGCAUAUUUUAAACUUUGUGUAUUUUGGACAUACCAGACAUAUCUGCUGGCAGUUUGCUUUUUUCAUUUGUCAUUAAGUUUUGAGAUUUAUUUUAGGUGCUACUACAUCUAUUUUUUUGUUGGUGGACUUUUAGAUUGAUCCAAUUUCCUUUUUUUCCCCAAAUUUUUAUUUGAAUUCUAGUUAGUUAAGGGGUGCCUGGGUGGCUCAGUCAACUGAGCAUCCGCCUUCAGCUCAGGUCAUGAUU